GAUUAACGCUGGCGGCGUGCAUAACACAUGCAAGUCGAACGAUGAAACUUAACUGAUUUCUUCGGAAUGAUUUUAAGUGGAUUAGUGGCGGACGGGUGAGUAACGCGUGAGUAACCUGCCUUGGAGAAGGGGAUAGCCUUUGGAAACGAAGAAUAAUACCCUAUGAUAUGAUAAUAUCUCAUGAUAUUAUCAUCAAAGAUUUAUCGCUCUAAGAUGGACUUGCGUCUGAUUAGUUAGUUGGUGAGGUAACAGCUCACCAAGGCAGCGAUCAGUAGCCGGCUUGAGAGAGUGUACGGCCACAUUGGGACAGGGACACGGCCCAGACGCCUACGGGAGGCAGCAGUGGGGAAUUUUGCACAAUGGGGGAAACCCUGAUGCAGCGACGCCGCGUGAUUUAGAAGGCCUUCGGGUUGUAAAAAUCUUUUGUAUGGGAAGAAAAUGACAGUACCAUACGAAUAAGGACCGGCUAAUUACGUG
rnacentral:rRNA from 1 species